rnacentral:rRNA from 1 species
UACGUAGGUGGCAAGCGUUGUCCGGAUUUACUGGGCGUAAAGAGCGCGCAGGCGGUCGUUCAAGUCGCGUGUGAAAGCCCCCGGCUCAACUGGGGAGGGUCACGCGAUACUGAUCGACUGGAAGGCAGGAGAGGGUAGUGGAAUUCCCGGUGUAGUGGUGAAAUGCGUAGAUAUUGGGAGGAACACCAGUGGCGAAGGCGGCUCGCUGGACCGGAACUGACGCUGAGGCGCGAAAGCGUGGGGAGCAAACAGG